UGCAUGAAGGGAUGAAGUGGCAGGAGAAAUGAAGUCUUCCUAACUCUGGCCUCCUGCUGCUACACAAGCCAGGCCAAUGAUGUGGCAAGUCCAAGGGGCACAUGGCUUUUCAGUGUCAUUGUUUGAGGAGGCCAUGAGUGGUUUAGCUGGUGGCCUCUGCUUCUUUUUCUUUUGAGUGCUUCUGAAUACAUGACUGUGCUCUGAAUACAGAGCUACCACUGCGGGGUAAACCAAGCCACAGCUGUCCUCUUCCAAGGUUAGGGUCGCUGCUCAGCAGGAGCUGAUGUGCUACAAGGAAUGAUGAUCUUCUACUGGGAUGGUGAUGGCCGGUUGAAGUGUUGACUGAGCUUGGAGCCAGGUGCACGGUGGCUGCUAGGCGCCUUCACUCCAUCCUGGAACAGCAGGAGAAAGUGCCUCAUGAAGUUCGGAAGAAAUAAAGGGAACCUAAGCAUGUUGCAGGGCUGCUUUAUCUCACAAAAAGCACAUCAACAGCAUCUGCUCUUCAACAGGACAACAGAACCAGGCCUCCUGACUGCCCCUCCCUGCGCUCCGGGCCUGCAGAAGGCGCCUGAUGUGACUUCGCAUUAUUUUGAAGCUGGAAAGGCAGACAUUUUAAGCCCUAAAGAGGUUUUGCCUUCUGAGGAGCUCAGGAGCUGAGGAGACCCGCAGGGACAUCUGGCUGGUGUCCUCCCCACGACUCUGGAGGAAAGAAUAGAAUACCAAAAGGCGCUGAACAUCACCACACCCCCUGGGGCCAUGACAUCCUCGGUGAACCGUAGGACUGGGGGACUGAGGACGGGUGAUUCCAGAGCGUCUUGCAUCGUCGCGUUUGGAGGACGGUGAUCCUCAGUGACCACCAA